rnacentral:lncRNA from 1 species
UCUACCACUACUAUCUUUGUAAGUCUUCUAAAUGCUCAAGAAGUUUCAAUCUAAUCUAACUUACAGGUUGUAAGAAAAUACCAUUAAUCCACACUAAUGUAUCUUGACCGCCGUCUAGAAGUCCUCGACUUACCAUACCAAAAGUCACCUUAUUCCAGCUGAUAGAUCUCCAGAUAUUAUAGAAACCCUAAACAAUCCCAAUCUGCUAACUUUCGAUACCUCUUUACACUAAUGGUCAAAUA